CUCGUUUACCCAAUGGCCUCGUUUUCAUGUCAAAUACUCACUCAUGUUGUUGAAAAUUACUUUGUUAUUGAGCCUAAGAACAGCAAGAAACAAAUUCGUCCAGGAAAACAUGGGGAUAUAAUCUUUAUCUGCCCCUGACAUGCUAAAAUAAGUUAACAUGGAAACGAGGCCAUUGGGUGAAAGAGAAUCAUGCAGUAAGGUCUAUUGAAAUGACAUAGUACGGCAUCGAACUGACAUGAAGUCUUUCUCAGGAAGUUCGAACACAAAUAGCAGCUCUUCACAUUUCUCAAAGAACAGGAACAACAACUGCCGUGAGGUCAUUCAUGGUCAAGAGGUAAAAAAUACAUCCGCCACUUGACAAUGCAUGCUUUAUUUUGCACACCCUUUCCGUCCUCUUGUGAAAUAAAGGCAAUCUCCGCUGUACUUAGUAGAACGAUGCCAAAUACAGAGCUUUAUACAAGUAAACAAGCCCGACGUUGCACGUAAUCUAUAAGUCUCUAAAAUAAAUUGCUCUGGAUACAAUCAGUUUAGUACCUAGGCUGUUGUUCGCUAUCCUCUUUUCUUGUGACUUCCCUUCUCCCGUAUGGUAUAAUAAUACUCGAGAAAUAAAGUGUGUUUAGUUUCUAUUUUUCACGCUUAUAUAGUUAUGUAAAGAGGCCGAACAUCCAUUGUAUGAUAAAUACAUUAAAUUAUUGAAAUCACGAAAGAAAACCUAGUUUGUAUUCAUGCUUUAAUUCAUGCC